CACAGUGUUGAGUUAUUCUGUGGUGAGCUUAGGUAGAGAACGGUUAACCUUAAAACACUCUGCUGAGGACAGUGCAGGACAGAGUUGUCAAUAUCAAAUGCCUGUUGCAGUAGAUGUCGUCUGAAAGUCUUAAGUGUCACAUGGACAUGCAGUAUUGCCAUUCACCCACUUAUACAGUGUACUGAAGAAUGAUAGCUGAGCUCAUUUGGUUUGUGCUUUAAUUAAAAGGUCCAUUUGACAAUUCAAAACUUCAGGAGCGGGAGGCUGAUCAGAAGGACACAUCUCAAAACAUGCAGCUGGACAACAAGAGGUUCCUCCUUAUACAUUCCCUGAUCUCAACCCUCUUACCAGCUACUGCUUCAACCCAUUGCUCUACAGGUUACAGUUAAAGUCUCUGCCCACUGAAAGCUGUGUUUACUAGGGAGAAACUUCUGUAGAAGUUACAUCUCUGAACAUGACUUAUUCUGUGGUGAGGGUAAGAACGGUAAACCUUAAAACACUCUGAUGAGACACACUGCAAGAGAGGUAAAAGGGGAAACAUGUUUACCUUAUGAAGCAUUAAGAUAAUAUGAUAAUUAAUUGACAUGUUUUUUUUUAUUAGAAUUAUGCUGCGUUGUGUAAACUAAUUCAAAAGACAGACGUAAAGCCAAACAUUUUUAGAAAAGAAACGCUACCAAAUAUGAUUAGAAGUACUAAAGCAUAUACAGUCA